GAGUGAGAGCACGUCCUUCUACUCUGCCAUCUUGAACCAAUCCCACAUGAGUGUCUUAAUUCCUUUAUUUUGUCUCCUAGACAUCAGGUGGGACAUUCAUUCCCCUAAGUGGUGGCCGGGAUUUAAAUUUGAUCUGCUUGCAUACCUCUUUUCUGCCAGCUGCCCAUCCUAACUCCUAGUGCUGCAGAAUCUAUUCCUUGAGAGCAUAUACUUUGCAAAUUUGCUCUUACUAAGCCUAAAAUUGCUGUACAGUUUCUAGCAUUACAUGCUUGCUUGCCUACCUCUGCUAGGCAGAGCUUUGUGUUAACUUUUCUCGUUAUCAAUUCUUGUUAAAAAAUGGCGAGAGUAGUGGAUACAAACCUUAUCUGUCAUUGGUAUCUGUCCAAGCCCCAAAGUGACUGAAGGCACACUAUAUAUUGCUCACUCUUUUACACUGCCUUCACGUUAAGAUAAAGAUGACCUUUUUGUUGUUAUCUGACAUAUUCUAAUAACUUGGAGACCUCCACCAUGAUGAGAAAACUGUUGUGUUGCUCAUUUCAUAGAUCAAAGAACAGCUUCUGUAUAAUAUAAAUGAGGAAACCAAGGACCAAAGUGUUUUAACCAAAUCACACAGCUAGGUGAUGCUGAAAUCAGGCUGCAGUCAACUCUUUGAGGUCUAACUCUGACCUUUAUAAACACAGGCUGAAUGAGUGAAUCAAUGAGUGAAAUAAUUGGGUUUUUAAAAGCCCAGUCUGGCUUAUCCCCUACUCCCACCCUCAGGAUCCUCAGGAACAGCUAACUAAUCUUUUAUUUAUUUUAUUUCUUUUCUUUUUUUUAGUAUUUUGGCUGCGCCCUGCAGCUUGCGGGAUCUCAGUUCCCUAACCAGGGAUCAAACCCAGGCCACCACAGUGACAGCACUGAAUCCUAACCACUUAGGCCACCGGAGAACUCUCUAAGAAUCUUUUAAAUGAGAGAUUUAACAUUUUCGUGGCUGGGGUUUGAGGACGAGUAGGAGAUGGUCCUUUUCCUGGUUUGAUUGACAUGGUUGGUGAUGGAGGGUUAAAUGAAUCUUAAGCGAGUCUCCUGGCUUGUCAAGGAUUUGCCGUGUUUUGGUUAUGAAGAUCUACCUCCAAUCAUGAAAGAUUUAAAUUUAGAUUACUUUAAGGAGGCAGCUACAUUUGUGCAAAGUCACCCAAAGGGCUGCAACAAGAGCAAGCGGACCCAAAGCUAUAUUCUCUGGUGAAUAGCUUUUUGAAUCUACUUUGUCAUUUUGCAGGAUUUAAAAAAACAAAUGAAGGAUCCCAGUUACAUAAUUCAUUUUUCUUGUGUGACUGUUUUUUUUUGUUGUUGUUGUUUUUCGGUAGCGGGGCCUCUCAC